rfam:Triticum aestivum genome assembly, contig: Triticum_aestivum_CS42_TGACv1_scaffold_571554_7AS
UCAUUCAGAUUCGCCAUCAUGCAUCCAACUGUGCAUUUGAUAUGCAUAUAUAUGCAUCACGAGCCACGGUUGGGCUGUAUGAUGGCGAUACCGAUUGG